GUGAUCCCUUCAAUACUAAAUGUACUAUAAUUGGAAGACACGCAGAAGAUUAGCAUUGCCCCUAUGCAAGGAUGAUAUACAAAUUCAUGAAACAUUUCAAAUUUUG
ensembl:snRNA U6 U6 spliceosomal RNA